rnacentral:lncRNA from 1 species
UUGGACAAAAACAGAACAAAGAACGUUCAAAAUCUAAAACAAGAAACAUACUCCACCUUUCCAUUUUCAAUUCUUCAACUAGAAGAAGCCUAUUUUCGUUCAUUUGGUUCGAAGAAGCAGAAGCUAAAGUUCUUUCAAGAAUUUCAAAAAAACAAAAGCUAAAUUGUUGAACAAUUUCAAAAUAGCAGAAGCUUAAUCCGAUUUUUAGGAUUCUAAGUUCAAUCCACGAAGGUUUCCAACGGAAUAUUAUACGGAGUUUUCCCUACUCCAGGUAUGUUAAGGCUAUCUCUUCUUUCUUUUAGCAUGGUUCAAAUUAUACAGAAGAAACGAGCAAACACACAGUUUCCCUAAAUUACUCUAUUUCAUAAAAGUACUAGGGGUCUCUGUGUUCUUGAUUCCCCAUGUGACAUAUUAUUAUAUCUUAUGUUUAUGGGUCUCAAAAUGAUACGCAGUUGAUAAAGUUUAUCCUAAAAGAAUAUUGAAAUUUUUAACAUAUUUCCAUGUAUUUUAUUCAUUUGUGCAUAUACAUUGACUCAUGACCAGACGGCGUUAUAUAUGCGUAUUUAUACGCAUAUAUUUAUGUAUAUGGGAUAUGGGAAAAAGGUUACGGCGUUAUAUACGCACCACCACCUGAUGAGUUGGUAUAUGUUGAUGAUGUUGCCCACAGUGGCCGAGAUGAUAUGAUGAGAUGCCCUCAAUAGCUUGAUGAUAUUAUGUACACCCAUACCUAUGCAUGACACGGCAUUUGUACGCACAUGCAUGACAUUAUAAGUGUUUCAGAAUUUACAAAGUUAUUCAGAUUUACAGAUGGAUUUCUUUAUUCCAUGUUUCAUCUGUCUUUUAUGCACUAAUUUUCAGAAUUUACAAAGUUAUUCAGAUUUACAUAUGGAUUUCUUUAUUCCAUGUUUCAUCUAUGUCUUUUAUGUACUAAUUUUCAUGCCUUACAUACUCAGUACAUUUUUCGUACUGACACCCUAUUUCAUGGGGCCUGCGUUCCAUGCCCGCAGGUGCAGGUAGUCAAGCUGACGUGGCUCAGUCCCGUCUUUGUACAGUUAUAUUUCUAUUAGAGGUCUGUAGACAGUAUGUCUAGUUGGAUAGUAUGUGGCCUUGCCGACUUCUAGUUUUGAGAUGUAUAGUUAUCUAUAGCAGCCUUGUCGGCUCGCCCUACGUAUGUUGCACGUAUAUGAAUGUAUGUCUUUUUGGGUAGAUUUCCUUCAUGUACAUUAUUCUCGUAA